AAAAGAAACCAACAGGGAUUGCCCCAGUAACGGCGAGUGAAGCGGCAACAGCUCAAAUUUGAAAUCUGGCCCCCAGGGCCCGAGUUGUAAUUUGCAGAGGAKGCUUUUGGCGCGGUGCCUUCCGAGUUCCCUGGAACGGGACGCCAUAGAGGGUGAGAGCCCCGUCUGGUCGGACGCCUAGCCUGUGUAAAGCUCCUUCGACGAGUCGAGUAGUUUGGGAAUGCUGCUCUAAAUGGGAGGUAUAUGUCUUCUAAAGCUAAAUACCGGCCAGAGACCGAUAGCGCACAAGUAGAGUGAUCGAAAGAUGAAAAGCACUUUGAAAAGAGGGUUAAAUAGUACGUGAAAUUGUUGAAAGGGAAGCGCUUGUGACCAGACUUGGGCCCGGUGGAUCAUCCAGCGUUCUCGCUGGUGCACUCCGCCGGGUUCAGGCCAGCAUCAGUUCGCCGCGGGGGAAAAAGGCUUCGGGAACGUGGCUCCUACGGGAGUGUUAUAGCCCGUUGCAUAAUACCCUGGGGCGGACUGAGGUUCGCGCUCCGCAAGGAUGCUGGCGUAAUGGCAUCA
rnacentral:rRNA from 1 species